rnacentral:snRNA from 1 species
GUGCUCACUUCGGCAGCACAGAUACUAAAACUGGAAUGAUACAGAGAUUAGCAUGGCCUCUGCACAAGCAUGACAAUCAAAUUUGUGAAACGUUCCAUUUUUUU